GUUCAUCCCUUAUUCGCUUUGCAAUACCAUUUCGACUUCCUGACGUCUUCGAGCGUACACGUCUCGUCCAAAUCCUUUACGAGAAUAAGAUAAUACUAUAGUCACUAAACAAUAUAUCGCAUAUACAUAUCACGUAUACCGAUACCCACUUAUAUACCCCUCUUUAAACUUAUCACAUAUCACUUAACACAUAAUCAUGCUUUGACUCUACCAAAUAGUCAAGUCAUAUUCCACAUAACAUAUUAUCAAUCAAUUAUCCUAUAAAUCUUAUCGAUAAUUUGACAGCGUCUCCUCUAUUUAUUAGAGUAUCCCCCUGUCAACAUAUUCCAAACAAUCAACUCCAGUCACUAUAAUCCAUAUAUUCUUAUCCAAUAUCAAUCAUACGAAUCAUUUAUCACUUCACAAUAUCAAAACUAACACGUACUUCACAUAAUCAUCACCUAAUAGCACUUAGAUCACAUAUUAUCACAUUAUGCAUACUUAUCAACAAUUAUUCACCUUAUAGACUCAGCCAUAUAGUCACAUCAUAUUAAAAUAGACGUUAUAAGCUUCUGUCUCUCUUUCGUUUCACUUGAUUCCGACUUACGGAUCAAAAGUUAUGCUCAAAACAGUUUUCUCACUCUCCUAUCGGCACAUAACACAUCCAACCAAUAGCAGACAACACACAACACAUAAGGUUUCCCAUCCCAAUUGAUAUUAAAUCAAGUCUUGGGUUAAAAAUGAUUUUUCGGGAAUUUUCCAGAAUUUUUAAACAUUUUUCGGAAUUAAAAUCGAUAAAAGAAUCACUUUUUGAAUAAAUAAUCAAGUCCGGAUGCUCAAAACUGGACUUGAAAUCAUUCAUAAACAAUUGUCGAGCCUUGAACAUAAUUUGGAAAAAUAUUUUAAAGCUCGAAACUAUUUUUCGGAAUUUUUAAAUCAAAAAGGAUUAAUUAAAUCCAAUUAAUUAAUCAAUUAAAAUCAAUUAAUAAUUAAUUAAAAUAAUUAAUCAAUUAAUAUUUAAAUUAAUUGACCAAUUAAAAUAAUUAAUUACUAAUUAAAAUUAAUUAACAAACUAAUUUAGAUUUAUUUUUGAAUAAAGAAAUAAUUAAAAACUAUUUUUGAAAUUUAAAAUAAUUAAAUAAAAACAUUUUUGAAAAUAUUUUGUAAAAGGUUUAAACUGUAAAAAUCUAAAAGUUUGCACUCGGGGUGCAAUGUGUCAAAUUCAAAAGUUUCAGGGUCGAAAACGUUUAAUAUGAAACUCGGGUACGAAGACUUCACCGUUUCCAAAAGUUGGGGGUACUAAACGGCACUUUUGCACCGCCUUCCCCCCGACUUCGCCGGAAACGGCGUCUUCCACCUCCGUUCUUUACCCAAAUCACCCAGAACUCAAGCUUAAGCCACCAGGAAGCUGAUGAACAGAUCAAUUUGCUCAAAAGCACGACCAUUUGGCCGUAUUUUCGAAACAAAAAUCACGCCGCCGCCAAGUUCUUCAACUCCGGCGAGGCUGCUACAAACCUCCUCCAUCAAAACCGAUCACACCAAUCGAUUCUACACAACCCACCGAACAUGUUCCAAUCAUCAAAACUCACCUAGACUUAACCGAACUCAGAAAUCGAAUUUUCAAUUAAAAGCUUCAAGAACAAACGAAGAACAUUCAAGCACAUACAAUCUCAGAAUCAACCUAACGUUUCAAUAUGAUUCCGAACUCCAAAUUCAACAAAUAAUAUACCAAAACGACGAGAAAAACACGCUCUACAACAUGGCAUCAUCAAAUCAAUCAAACAAGAUCAGUUACAAAAAUUUAUCAUUUAAAAAUCAAAUAAUUCGAAUUUUAUAAAAAUAAUCUAAAAUCACCUGUUGAAUCUGCACACAAACGGAUGAUUAAACUAGAUUCUACGCGUCGAUAGCUUCGUUUUGACUAUUCAUACGCCUCCAUCGGAUUCCAAUAACACCUCCAAAUCUUCGUUUGAUUAUGAAGAACACGAAGAACAUACUUCGGUUUCUCUCGGUAUUCGUGCAAAGAAACUGGUGAAAAUGAUUUUUUACGGUGAAAAUAAGUUACAAGAAAGUCUAUUUAUAUUUACAAAUAAUUGGUACCCCUUUGGAUCGUUUAUGACAUGAAAAUACGUAUUAAUAGCUUUAUAUUAAUAAAGCGGGGUCCAAUCGGUACUGGUUUUUGAGAUAAUCAUCAAAACGGGGCUUUUAAACUCAAUCAUUGGUCUGGGGGUCCCAUUUGCACGUAUUUCGAUAAAAAGUAAUAUAAUAAUCAAAAUAUCUGGCUUUCACGUAUAUCGAGACAAACCAGAUAAUUAUCAACAAUUAAAAUACCCGAAAAACUCCGCCGGACCGACUCCGGGGAAAACCGUACUCCGGAUCGAAAAAGUCAAAACACGAAAAAUGUCCGGAAUAUUCAAAUUAGGCUAAAGGUGAGUUUUGUUGAAACUUCCGGGAAGAAAAUUUGCUACACCGUUACGAGUGGACGGUUUUACGGAAGUCAAAUAAUUAAUAAAUAAAUAUAAAUAUACGCAAUUAAAUCCGUAAAUCGAUUAUAAAAUCAUCUAACAUUCCAUAAAUCGAUAUGAAAAUAUCCAAAUAAACUAUAUUUUCUCCUGAGCAUAUAGAAAUUGAAAUCUCUCAAAUACGAACACAUAUGAGCAGUUAACGCAAUAACCCAGAUAAUAUAAAGUUCACAAAAAUUCAUAUAUUAAUCAUAUAAUACUCAUAAUUAACCAUAAUUAAUUAACCAACAAAUCCACCAAUACCACUUACUCACAUCACACAUAUAUUCACAUAAUAAUCAUCUAGAAUUUUCGAAACAAUAUAUGAAAAUCAGUUUUAAAAAUAUAAUCAUUUAUCAAUAACACAAUAACCCGGGGUUUAAUAUAAAAUUUUGAAAACUCCUUAAACUGGAAUAAAAUAUUAAAUCUUAUUCCUUACUUAUUAAGAAGACCACUUAUAAUACUAAUAAAAAUAUUUUUAAAAAUCCGAGUCAUUACAAUCUACCCUCCUUAUAGGGAUUUCGUCCUCGGAAUCAGAGAAAGAAGGAGGAUGCAUAAUCUGUAAAAUCCAUAUUAAUCCACAACACAAGUAUAAUCACAUACAACUAUUCACAUAAUCAUAUCAAUAUUCAACUAGAGCCAACAAUAAUAUCUAGACAAAUAGAUUUAUAAUAAUCAACAUACUAAAUUUAAUAAUAUGGGAUAUUACAGGAUCAGCUGCAACUACUCCUAUGGCAACAGCAACCAAACUAGACAAAGAUACUGGUGCAUCAGUGGAUAUCACAAUAUGGGAUAUUACAUUCUACCCCCCUUAUAAGGAUUCCGCCCUCGGAAUCCGCGAAGAAAACUAAAACGUAUCAUUUGUAAAAUCAUUGUACACGCUUCAUAAUAUCACAUGCUCAUCCGCCCUUAAUCAACCUUGGCAUACCUUCAAAGUUAAAUAAAUAGGAGAAUCAAAGCCUUCACAAUUGCAAACUUCAUUUCCCAAGAAUCAAUCUUUUGGAAAUUUCGGAGGAACAAGAUAUUUUCAAAAUAGGUCACAUUGGAAUACAAGAGUGACUGGGAGAUCAAUAUGAUCAAAUGAACUUAAUGUUGCGUGUCCAUAUUAGACACUACUAAAGGUUGUUAACCUUCUUGUAAUCACAACACACACAAGUGAUGGCGUCCCAUCCAACUCCUAUCACACAGACAGGUAUACCUUGUGUCCCCUAUACAUAGGGUUGUUCAUCCCAAUCAGAUGGAAAGAAUCCCCGAAAUCUCAAUGAGCAUCAAGGAAUGUUAAGGAUUAUCGAGGAAUAUAUUAAGGAAUAUCGAAAAGAUAUCAAAGAAUAUCAAAGAGUGUCAAAGAAUAUCAAUGAAUAUUAAGGGAUAUCAAAGAAUAUGGAAGAAUAUCAAGGGAUAUCAAAGAAUAUCAAAUAAUAUCAAGGAAUUCCACUGUCUCUUCAUAAACACGUCUUUAUCAUACACCGAUUCAAUACUAACUCACACCAAUAAUCAAUAUCAUUAACAUCUUAGAAUUAUCAAAACUUUUGUAGAAAAGAUAUCAUGAUAAUAUCUCACUGAUGAGAAAACAAUCAAAAGAAUCUUUAGUUGAAGAGAGGUAUUGCCAAGGUCUUCUCAGAUUCCGACUCUACUUCAAUAAAUCAUUGUACGAUAUAUGUCUUCUUUUCAACGUUCUUGAAAAUCAAUCGAUUUGACUCGUAAUAGCCUCAUAAGAUGUCAUCGUAGACGUUAUAGUUCGUAAUAAGUCUGGCCCAAGUAGUUCACAUUCUUCUACUUUAUCCCAGUUGCCUUUGAAAUCCAUAGCACAAACACGUAGCGUAUCUUCUAUUCUCUGACUCGUCAACCUGUGGGUUAUGGGCCCACCUUGUCCCGCUUAACUUAAAGCGUAGUCGUCGAGAAUUAACAAUUCUAACUUACUCGCAAAUAUCGCUUCUAAUAACCUGACUCAACUUCACUUACUCUCUAUCAUGCACUUCUCAUCUAUCAACCUCUAUCUACAAAUCUCUUCUUCUAAUCCAAUACAACUCAUACUCUACACUUACUCUUCAUAUCUUCACUCAAAACAAUAUACAUCUUCCAAAUAUCUGACAUGGUCAACAUACUAUGAACCAUGCAUUUAUAUCAUCCUCAAAUCAAUACAAUAAUCCAAUUUCAAAUAUGCAGUAUAGUCAGAAUACUCUGAACUCUGCAUUUUCACCAUUCUCAACUCAAUCAUUCACUAUCAAACUCUUCUAUAUAGGUCUAAUACUGACCUUUUCCACAAUUCACCAUCUCAAUUAAUCAACAUACUAGAAAUCAUAUGUCUAAACUUAAGAAUCCUAAUCUCUUUAAAUAUCCACACUUAACUUGAUCAUCUAACUAAACUCUAUGCUUCACUCACAUCUCUAGACUAUUCCUAAAUAGUCCGACCAUACCUCUAUGUGAGGUUACACCACAUUCUUCUCUAGAAAACCUAUAACUAUGAUCUAUAUUCUAAUUUCAAAUACUUAUAACCUGUUGCUCUGAUACCAACUGUGACAGUCCGAGAAUCCGGGGGUCUGGAUUCUGACGUCACCACAUAAAACCCAUUUUUAAACACUUUUGAAAUCCUGAAUUUUUUUUAUUUUUUUUUUUUUAAUGAAAAUAAAAGUCAAAGGAUUUAAAACUUGAAAUUCAAACUUGAAAGCCAUAAUAAAAGAUCUGAAAGACGUUAAAUGAAAGAUUUGAAAGAGAACAUCUUCACCCCCAAAACAACAGGAUCGCUUCCAGGUUACAGUAUUGAAAUUAGAAUCAACCACUAUUAUUACACAACUUUUCUUACCAAGUCAGAUCAUCUUCGAUAAGAAGAAUCACUGUCAACUAUUCCAGCUAUGACUUACACUUGAAUCCUUAUAGCACAGCUCUAGCUUGCAUCAACCUCAUCAACUUCCCUGAACACUCCUCAAUCACUGGAUCCUCAACUCUGUCUCCUCGCCUAGCAUUAGCCUUAUUCACCAUCACAGUCUAGCCACUCAUCUUUAAGCCUUUCUGAAAUGGUUAGAAAGGAAUAGCAAGGGUGAGCAACAACGCUCAGCAAGUAGUAAUAAACAAUGAUAGUUCUGAAAUGAUAUAACAGAAGUUCACGAGUUCAAGAUAUAAAAAGAUUCAACUUGAGUUCACAAAUUCAGGUAUUGUAUAAAAGAAUCACAAUACCUUGCAGCAAUAGAAACCUGAGGAAUUCAAUCCUUCACAAGAGAAUUAUUGAAUUGGACUAUCACAUUUUAAUUAAAAACCAAGGUUAGGAUGCUGAUCAGUCAUACCUAACCCCGAGCAGGCCCCGCCAUGCUCUAUCACUGGAU
rnacentral:lncRNA from 1 species